AAGAUCGUUAUUCUCAAUCUCAUAUUACGAAAUCCCAAAUGCUGGCAAUUCUGAAAACCAGGUGGAGGAGGGGGGCAGUGUGCCUGCUGCUGCCGGGACCCCGGAGAGCUCCAUGCUCAGCACCAAAAGAUUCAUCCCGGAGGCCCCAGAGGGGGAAAAUGAGGAGCCCAAGGGUCCCCUUAGGGAGCAGGACCUGAAGGAGGCCUACAUCGAGCUCAUCCGGGGUGUGCAGGAGUGGCAGGACGGCUGUGUCUACCGAGGAGAGUUCGGGCUGGACGUGAAGCUGGGAUGCAGAGAAUUCUCUUGGCCCAUGGGCGAGAGGUGAUUUGUGACACCGAGAUGCCAUCAGAUCCACUUUGAAGUUCUGCUUUAUCGUCAGCCCUCCCAGAAGCAUCGCCCUGGUACCAUGUGGUCUUCAGGACGGUGGCUUUGGCCCUGCACACUUCGUCACUCAGCUGGCUUCCUGACCCACGUCCUAGUCCCCAGAGCAGCGUGGGAAGUGGCUCUGGGUGCUGGUGGGCACGGCGGUUGAGGGGGGAUGAGGGGCUCCCACCUUCUCUACUCUUCUCUACUCGCCAGCAGGUGUUUCUUUGUGAAGUUCCUGCAUCUUCAGGGGUGCUGGCGAAGCGGAGGAUAGGUGACCUUCCUUGGGAGGACUGCGUGUUGUUUAAGGACAGGAAGGUGGAGGGACGUGGUUGAGCCGCAGGUGAUUAUUGUCGGGGGCUCGCUGCCCUCCUGUCCCCCAGCCCGCUGUGCAUCCUGCCACCAGUGGCCAGAGAGCAGAGCCAAGAGUCUCCCCUCCAGAGAGGGGUGUGAGCCGGGCCAGGCCAGAGAGAACCUGGCGCUGCCCGGUGGUCUUUCAAGGCGUGGUGAGGGGACACAGAGCCGGGGCCGGUGGCCAGGAGGCCGCAGAUCCUAGGGCAAGGAUGCCGGGGCAGAGGGGCGCCGCCAGCACCGAGCCCCGCUCUGCGCCCUCAGACCUGCUCGGGGGCUGUCCAAGGCUUGGGGCGCCUGCCUGCUUGCCGCACAGCCAGGGGUGGGCCCACCACAGGAGGGUGGUCGAGGUGGGCAGCUCAGAGCCCCCUCCGCAGGUGGCGUCACACGUGACCAGGAGGGCCCUCGGGGGCUAACGUGGUCUCCCGGUGCAGCGGAGCUGGCCCCCUGUCGCCGGCUGAAGCGGAAGGGCACCGGCCUGCCCGAGGGGCUGGACUUGGACGAGCAGGGGCAGUGAGUGGCCGAGGGUGGCGGUGGGCUGGGCGUGCUGCCAGGCCGGCCCCGACCCCCGCUGCCCCGGACAGCGCGGCUCUUGAGAGGCCUGGCCCUGCUGCGGGCGGUGGGCGUCCUGGACGGCGCCCGCCCACUAAACCCUGGUGGACGGGGGUGGGCUGGGCGCGAGGAAGGCACACCCACCGGGCUCACCGUCCUCCUGACGCAGGCGUGCCAGGCCCACUCCCGAGGCGCGCCCGCUAGGAGGCUGCUCCCCCCACUGCAGACUUCCCGCCACUCCCACGCCGUGCUGCGGGUCCCCUAAUGGUGUGGUGUCGUCUCCUGCCCAGUCGGGCCGGCCAGCACCCGGACGGCUUCCAGGGCACGGGCCUUGUUUCCUGUUCCCAGUAGCACCGCACUGGACACAGGGCAGGCCCCGGGGCUCUGGGCCUCGGGCACAGGUGACGGGUGCCUCCCGACGGCCCACGUGGCUCCCCGGCAGGACUCCCUUCUUCAAGCUCUGCUACAAGUGUGGCCACUCCAUGGGGGUGCGCCUCACGCCCUGCACCCGCUGCUACGGGAUCCUGACCUGCAGCGCAUACUGCGAGACCAAAGCCUGGAGCGACUUCCACAGGAGGGACUGCCACUCACUGAUGGCCAUCGGGAGAAUACAUCCAGCUCUGUUCACAAGGGAACCCUUGCAGCAACGUGGCAACGAGCCACAGAAGUCUGCGACCCUGAAGCUGCCAUGCAAGUCGAGGUGCUUAUAUUCCACCUACAGUCACGAGCGAGUGUCUGGGCGCCCACCUGCCUGUACAGGGCUCCAGGAGGAGCUGGGCCAGCAGGAACGGGGACCACCCCAGGACUCGAGGAGGGGUGGGCGGGUGAGCACCGGAGUUGCUGCCGGGCAGGUGUCCAGGGAGGCCUGAGCUUCGCCCCAGGCCCAGCAGGAGCUGCGACCCCUGCAGGACUCCCUCCGUGGAGCUGCAUUCUCCUCCCAGCGUGGGCUGCCUGGCCACCCCCCCGACCCCAUGCUGGGGGCCCUGUUCCUUAUACUCAUGGGGCCCAGGGUCCCGGCUGCUGGUCCUUUAGUGCUCCAGGGCCCCAGGUGACAAAGAAGCUUUGCGGAACGUUUGACUGGCAGGCCACUGUGGGCUGCGACACCCAAAUAA